UGAGGUCGGUGUUUUGUCUGCGGAAGUGACCUAACGACGAGUAUAGGAAGGAUGACAGUGGACACCUUCGAGAGGGGACGGCGAAACGAGAAGAAGAAGACAUCGACUAACGAACGAAACCCAAGAAUAGCGCGGACGGUGCGCUAGCCGCGAAGCGAGAAGGUGAUGACAGACGUUGAGGUCUAUAGCAAGAUCAAAAUGAACGCAUUAAGACCUUUCCCCUGUAUCGAGCAAACACUAGAAAAGAACUACGUUUAUAGAACUUUCUGUCCUCUAAGUGUUUUGCCAAACAGAACAGCGGGACCACGGCUGUAGAUUUGAGGAGAAGUGAUCCGUCGUUUUCGAAGAGGUCCUAUAUACAUACGCGAACGUAAGGGUUAAAGGGUCUGUUGUAAAUCUCGAUUUUUUCUGAUCUUGUGAACUAUCUCCUCUUGCUUCGACGAACCAAGUUGUCUGGCGUUCGUCCUACCUCUACCGCCAUCCCCGCCGAAGCUCCCACCACCACGUUGACCACGCACCUCAGCACCAGCAGAACUUCCUACGUGAGGUCGACGUUCCACGAGCUCCCGACCUGGAACUUGCCGGUUGCUCGCCUCUGUGCGGGAACGUGGUCCAUGGCCUCGACGGCGAAUUGUAGACGUACCAUAGGCUCUACAAGGACGUCUAGGAACGGUGCCCCGAGCCGCGGGAGCGGAACCAGACCCGCUGGCAGCAGGACGAGCCGCCAAAGAGGUGAAUAGAUGUGUUCCGACUAAAGACCCAGUAGUGGCGAUAGCAGAAGUAGGUUUGUCGGUCCCAGCACCCGUAUUUACAUUCGGGGCUCCGUCUUAAAAAGUUGGUUCAAGGUGUUCGUAAGGAGCUUAACCCGCGGCUCGUGAUGUGCUUUACCCCCGCUGCUUCUGGGGACUGACCGGCUCGUUGACCGGUUUUGAAGCAAAUGAUAGAGUACGACCGUGAACCUUCACGUUCCCUAAAGUAUUGGUAACACCGGAAGGAUCGUUAUAACCAGGAACGUCAAGGCUACUAGCGUCCCAAUCCGACGUAUAGUGAAAGGUAGAUAGCAGAGCAACGGGAGGACAGCUCUGUAGUACCGUUACUGUUACACAAAGCACGUGAGUAGAACAAGAUACGAGAGCACGAAGAGGUUCCACCUAACAAGUAGAACACCAACAAAGACUCCGACAUAGCAAGAAUAGAACGUUUGGUGCACUCGAAGUUCAUACCUGAACUCCUGUUCUCUCUUAACUAACUGUUUAUAUACCCGUUUUGGAACUCGUGCCGGUAUUUUUUACCCCACCGUCCAUGGUAGUUGUCCUUGGACCGAAGGAAGCGUCGUCUUUACUACUUUAGACUCAUGUCAGUCCUGGCGUAACUACGUCAAAACCACUACGUAUCUAACUGUAGGGUUCUCCUGGUAUCUUGUUCUUGUGAUAGGGUCUAUGUUAGGAGUGGCGAGACACAAAGGUCCGACGAACUGUACCAAUGGAGUUUGAGUUUCUCGGCGUGACUAGUCUCCUGUUCUUAUACGUAGCGUCUUUAACACCGUGUAGAACGAUCGUUGAACACGGACCGACUGUAUAGUCCUCGUUGUCUCAGGUAUAGAAGGUACUAACUAGGGAUGAAAUACUUUUAUAAUCGUGGUCGAUGGUUACAGUUGUAACCGGUAGUCUGUCGAUAACUGUAGUGUUGACUGGUCGUCCCCCGAUAAGUCAGUCGGUCGCGAUGGUUACCUCCUCUUUCGUAGCCUAAAACAUAAAUAGAAUUCUUUAAUUACCUGUACCAUCGAGGCGUAUGACGUCUUAAGUAGUCUUUAUCUGUCGUUCUUUGAGGAGCUAGGAGGUCCUGAUGGUCACCUCGACUUUCGUUUGGAGAUUAAUAGGUACCGGACAACUAAGAACGGUUCGAACGUCAAUUGGGCCUGUUGACGUUUGUGUAUAUACUAAUGUUCCCAGAGAAGAGGUUCUAGUAUAGGGGUCAGUUUUGAUUUCACAUACUCUAGGAGUCUCUACUACCAUAGUGGUACCUUUAUUGACUCUUCCGUGACCUUCACCACUCGUACGAACAGUCACCGUGUCUACUUUGGUCACUUUUCUAUGCGGCUCUAUAAACAUCGUUGCCCUAUCAUCGUGUUGUAUAGACGAGUUAGAACCUUUUCCUGGUGUACAUGUUGUUCGAUUUCCAAGGUCGUUGUUUCUAGGAUUACCUCGAUAGAAACCUAUGCAGGUGAGUUCGAUGGGAACCUGAACUACCGCAUCGACUUAAGUAAUUACUGAACUACCUGUAGAAGAAACUACGACGAUUACUCUCAGUUCUUGAGUUCUUCUGGCGUCCCCUUCGUAACCGUCAUGACCGUUACCUGUUACGGUUAACAUACUGCUAGUGCUUAAAGUCGAGUCUCUGUUUUUGAAGUCAAGUCGACGAGUGUCUAUACUAAGGACGCCAUUUGCGGUCUAAUAUAGUUUGAUGGUAUCGUGUUGACGACUACGUUGAAACACGUUCAAAAUUGGGACGUCUUUCCCUCCUCGUAGAGCGUAGUCAGUUUUGUUAAGAUGUACUCCAUGAGUUUCAAUAUACGUUGUAACUUGUUCGUCGUUUACGUUUAGUCCACCCAAGAGGGGUCGUAUUGGACCCGGUCGUUGUUCGUCGUUUGUGUUUAGUCCGCCCAAGAGGGGUCGUAUUGGGCCCGGUCGUUGUUCGUCGUUGGCGUUUAGUCUGCCCAAGGGGGGUCGUAUUGGUUCCGGUCGUUGUUCGUCGUUUGUGUUUAGUCCACCCAAGAGGUGUCGUAUUGAGUCCGGUCGUUGUUCGUCGUUUGCGUUUAGUCCGCCCAAGAGGGGUCGUAUUGGGUCCGGUCGUUGUUCGUCGUUUGUGUUUAGUCCGCCUAAGUGGUGUCGUUUUGACCCCGGCCGGGGGUAAAAGAGCCCGUAAAAUAGCGAACUUGUCAAAAGAGCCCCGAGUGGUGAGAGUGCGACGAUUGUCUUUGUUAGGGUUACUGUUAAACGGCCGACAAUGAGUCGAACAUCCACGAUCUUCUUUUAGGGACCGUCGGAAGAAUCCGGAAUGUAACCUCUAUACACUGUUUGACCUCUAGUCAGGUCUACUAAAACUACUACGCGAACGCGAGUAAGGAGAAAGGUACCUACUGAAACACCUAUUUGACUUAGUAUAUUAUCUUGUCACGUUCCCGGUGAGACAACUAUCGAACCUUCCCUUCCCGGGGAGUCAACUCAUAGACUAUUAUUAGUUCCGUCACUGUUUCAAUACAUGUACCUACUACCUUUCGUUCGGUCUGACGUAAUGUCAUAAGGUUUUGUUCUUGUGAUCGUGUUUUGACGUUCCACGGAACCUCCUAUACUCUCUGGACCUUGAUCCAUACGAGGAAUGGCCGUCACGUCCCCUGUACCGAUUAAUGGUUUGGGAAAGUUUGUAGCACCCACAACGUGCCGUCUACUACCUACGAUUACACGUUCAAAUUUAUCCUUACCCACCUUUUCUUAAUGUUCACACCCCAAAAGAAAGCCACGGAUGAAAAGUCUCUUAACAAAAGAGGUACACAGAGGGGUGCACAUUCUUAGUUCUAUCGAUGAACUAAAAAAUAGAAGGGCCAAAUGUUAGACGAACUAAAAGGCACCUAAUUAACACGAACUGAAAACGACACAAACA
rnacentral:rRNA from 1 species